UCGGGAAUUUUGGGCAAUGGGCGAAAGCCUGACCCAGCAACGCCGCGUGAAGGAUGAAGUAUUUCGGUAUGUAAACUUCGAAAGAAUAGGAAGAAUAAAUGACGGUACUAUUUAUAAGGUCCGGCUAACUACGUGCCAGCAGCCGCGGUAAUACGUAGGGACCAAGCGUUGUUCGGAUUUACUGGGCGUAAAGGGCGCGUAGGCGGCAAUUCAAGUCAUCUGUGAAAUCUCCGGGCUUAACUCGGAACGGUCAGAUGAUACUGCUUUGCUAGAGUGCAGAAGGGGCAAUCGGAAUUCUUGGUGUAGCGGUGAAAUGCGUAGAUAUCAAGAGGAACACCUGAGGUGAAGACGGGUUGCUGGGCUGACACUGACGCUGAGGCGCGAAAGCCAGGGGAGCAAACGGGAUUAGAUACCUGUAGUCCCUGAGCGGGCUGGCAAGGCGCAU
rnacentral:rRNA from 1 species